UUCCUAAAAUUGUACCCACAUUCCUUUUCUUGGGGGUUUGGGUACACUAUUGCAAGUUAAUCGCAAUUCCAGCAGUUUGGCGGGGUUGGGAGUAUCGUCAAAUUUGAAUUCUGAACUACGAUCUCUCGCGUUUGGAAUGCUACAUAUACUCUGUUGAUCUUCGAUUCAUCGUUACAAUUUUUUUUCCAUUCUUGCACUUGCAACGCAGCUUUUUGGUUAUCGAGAAUUACUGAUUUUCCCUGAAAUUGAUGCUUUGCGUCGCCAUAACUCUGAAGAAUCGGUAUCUCUGAUAUUUCACUUCAUUCUAAUUUUCAUGAUUCAUCGAUGUCGCGUGGAUCAGAUAGAACAGGUUCGAUUGCAUAUCAAAUUUGCUUAAACCGUUUUUUUAAUUUUUAGGUUUUACCUAAAUACGAUCAUCGUAUAGAUUGUGAUAUUCUGAAAUUUUCUCGUUAUUGAUAUAUUCUGUAUAUAUACACACGUUCUUAUAUUGUACACGUAUGUAGAUAAAUUCGAUAUUAUACGAUUUUAUCAUUCACGGCCGAAGUAUGUUGUGGAUUUCACCUGAAUCAGUGGGACUAUUUGCUUGAGUGACAAUUCUGUAGUUUACGUGUGCUUUUGUUGGUGAUGUUUGAUCUGUUAUUCCGUGUGAAGUGAUGUCAAAACCUUGAAUCUGUUUUUAUUUUGUUGAGAAAUAGAAAAAUGAUACAAAUUGCAUUUAUAUUGAAUUUCAGUAUCAAAUGUUAUUGCAGUUUACGGGAGACUUCUAAGCUGUAGUGCCUUAAAAUUUUUGCAUGUUGAUGGCUCCUUAGGGUUAUGAUAAAACAGUGCAACAGUCUAAACUUCGCACACUGGCAUAUUAUGCAACUGCUCACUUUUAGUUUGUGUAUUGAUAACCAUUUGCAAGACUAUGUACUCAAAUGUGCACACAAGCAUGUUCUUGAAGUUGCCCCUGUUUUCUUUUGCCUUAAUUCUGAUUAUCAAGGCUUCAAGCAUUGUACACAGCAUUUGUUAAAGGUGAACGUUCUUCUGGAGGAUCCUCAUGUUAGAUUGGAUAUCUAGUGACUGUUUGUGUGUUCUUUCCCUCCUUUUUUUGGUUAGUUGUGUGAGUAAUCAAAGUGACAGAAGAAUGGAGAAAAAGGAUUCAUGAUGACAAUUGAGUAUGAUACAAGGCUUAGUUUGGUAUGCAAGUGUGUGUGGGGGUGGGGGUGGGGGUGGGGGUGGGGGGACACAAAUACUCAGACUGACAGUUUUUUGUCAUGCACUGGCACACCUAUGUCGUACUCUCGGGUUUCUCGAGGUUGGGGUCUAAACCUCUUAGGAAAUGCAGCUAGUUGAAAACAUAUUUCGAACAAGAAGCUAGGAAAUCCACACAGCCAUAAAUUCAAGAUGAUUGUUCCAUACGAUGAAAGUUACUACACAUCUGUUCACCUAUCAAAAGUAAUUUGUCCUGUAUUUUUGAAUGGGGUUCUGCAGAAACUAUUUAUAUUUUAUAGGUUGUGAAUGCUUUUUUUUGUGUGUGUGUGUUUUCUCCUAUUCUUGUACUAACAUCAUGUAUUAAACAUAUUGAAAGGGAUGAUUGAUAUUGAUCGACAAUCUUUUAACCAAUUGGUCACCGUUCAUUGUGGUCGUGUGGCAAUCUCUGGGUAGUUUUGUUUGUGUUUAUUUCAGAUGCUGGGAAGAGAGAUUCUGCAGUUAUGCAUGGAGGAUUUAAUGAGGUUUAGAACACUUUUUGUGGAUCUCAGGUCCAUGAUAACAUGUUUUAUGUGUUUGGUAAAAUUAUUCGGUGACAAGCAGAAUUCCAAAUAAUAAUUUCAUUAAAUAACAUAACCUGAAAUUACAAGCUUCAAUCGGACGAGAAAAUAGUUUAACCGUUUGAACAUUUACAGAACUGAAAUAUACAAAAACUGAAAUAAGAGAUACAACCAGAGUCGAGCCCUGCAAUUGCAGUCUCCUUAAGAAAGAUUCGUCGCCAACACCUAACUGAUUUUGCGACGGUCUCUCUCACAAAAAUAAAAACCCAUAAUGUUUUUUUUUCUUUCUAUAUUCAAUCAUAACAAUCCUUGGUUUUAUAAAGGAAAACACGAACCCUUCAAAAUAAAACUCCUGUCAUAAACACCCCAUCAUUAGAGUGUUUAGGGCUCAAUAACCUCUGGCCAUAAAGGUUUUAUUAUGGCUGCCAUUUGGGCUGCUAACAGCUCAAAUUAGAGCUGUUAAAUCCAGCCCAUUUUGGAUUUCAUUCACUCCAUAUUUCCAACAUUAUGUAGUGCCUAACAACUUAUAGUUAACUUAUUGUGGUUUCCACAUGAAUUAUUUUGGUAGGAUAGAUUUUACGCUAAUAGCCUUAUAGAGGUUACAUAUAUGUACACAUGCUGUCAUCAUAUAUGUAAUCGAUCUUGGUCACAGUAGGAAAGUCAUACUUUCAGUUUCUCCACGAAAAGAAAAUAUUGUGUGUUAUUAUAACUUUUACUGAAGGCCAAAGUAUGUCAAAGGAGUUCCUUCUAAUUAUGUAUGUCAUUUUUGGUGAUGUUAUCUCCAUGGUGCUGAUUAUGCUGUUAACUUCAGCAGUGGAAGAGAUGUAGAGAGAAGACUGUUCUAACAACAACUUUUCAAGCUGAACUUCUGAGGAGAUCAGGGCAAUGUGAUGGUUGCUGUUGAGACAAUUUAAAGGUUAGUGUCUCUGUUGUUGCUUCAUUUAUAUAAUAGAAAGUAUAAACCAUGGGCACUAUAAAGCAACUGCAAUUCAUAUUAUGAUGGUUAGCUCAUGUUUUACCAAAAAGGGAGAACAAAGAAAAAGGGGAAAACAACGAAAAAAUGAGAAAACAAAAAAGAGAAAUGGGCUCUUCCGGAAGAAAUUUGUGAAAGAUGU
rnacentral:lncRNA from 1 species